rnacentral:rRNA from 1 species
UACAGGGGGCGCGAGCGUUGCUCGGAAUCACUGGGCGUAAAGCGUACGCAGGCGGACCGUUAAGUCGCAUGUGAAAUCCCGGGGCUCAACCCGGAAGUGCAUGCGAAACUGGCGGUCUUGAAUACGGGAGAGGUGAGUGGAACUCCGAGUGUAGAGGUGAAAUUCGUAGAUAUUCGGAAGAACACCAGUGGCGAAGGCGGCUCACUGGCCCGGUACUGACGCUGGAGGUGCGAAAGCGUGGGGAGCAAACAGG